AAGAUACUAGUAAAAUUUACAUUGCCUUGUCAAGGCAAAAUUGUUGGUUAAAAUCCGACGUAUCUUU
rnacentral:tRNA from 2 species